rfam:Salmo salar isolate Sally breed double haploid chromosome ssa18, whole genome shotgun sequence.
GGCCAUGUGGCUCAGUUGGUAGAGCAUGGUGUUUGCAAAGCCAGCGUUCUGGGUUUGAUUCCCACGGGGGACCA